AGCGAACGCUGGCGGCAGGCCUAACACAUGCAAGUCGAACGAACUCUUCGGAGUUAGUGGCGGACGGGUGAGUAACACGUGGGAACGUGCCUUUAGGUUCGGAAUAACUCAGGGAAACUUGUGCUAAUACCGAAUGUGCCCUUCGGGGGAAAGAUCUAUCGCCUUUAGAGCGGCCCGCGUCUGAUUAGCUAGUUGGUGAGGUAAAGGCUCACCAAGGCGACGAUCAGUAGCUGGUCUGAGAGGAUGAUCAGCCACAUUGGGACUGAGACACGGCCCAAACUCCUACGGGAGGCAGCAGUGGGGAAUCUUGCGCAAUGGGCGAAAGCCUGACGCAGCCAUGCCGCGUGAAUGAUGAAGGUCUUAGGAUUGUAAAAUUCUUUCACCGGGGACGAUAAUGACGGUACCCGGAGAAGAAGCCCCGGCUAACUUCGUGCCAGCCGCCGCAGUAAUAC
rnacentral:rRNA from 1 species